AGAGUUUGAUCCUGGCUCAGGAUGAACGCUAGCGGCAGGCCUAAUACAUGCAAGUCGAACGGUAAAUGGUCCCUUCGGGGAUAUGAGAGUGGCGGACGGGUGCGUAACGCGUAUGCAACCAGCCCCCUGCAGGCGGACAGCCGGUGGAAACGCCGGAUAAUACGCCAUGCGGCCCGGGUGAGGCAUCUCACCUUGGUCAAAGCGGAGACGCGGCGGGGGACGGGCAUGCGUGCCAUUAGCUAGUAGGCGGGGUGAGGGCCCACCUAGGCUACGAUGGCUAGGGGAUCUGAGAGGACGGUCCCCCACACUGGUACUGAGACACGGACCAGACUCCUGCGGGAGGCAGCAGUAAGGGAUAUUGGGCAAUGGGGGGAACCCUGACCCAGCCAUGCCCGCGUGAGGGAAUGAGGCCCUACGGGUCGUGAACCUCUUUUGUCCGGGGACAAGGACGGGCACGUGAUGCCUGUUUGAGGGUACCGGAAGAAUAAGCGUCGGCUAACUCCGUGCCAGCCGCCGC
rnacentral:rRNA from 1 species